CAUCAAAAACAUUAGCAUAUUUCAUAUUAUAGAUAAUACCUAUUGAUUUUUCGAGACCAUGAGGAUGGAAGGAGUGGCAUAAAGCAAUUAUUGGUUUAGAUCGCAGAAUUCAACUGUACGUACACGGAGGACUACAUCCUUUCUGGGAACAACUACGUAGCUUUGAACUUGCGUGUAACAACCAACCACGGUAACGGAGCGUAUUAAGUAUCCAAUUAAUUAUUAUAUUUGUGAGAUAUUUUAACUUUAUAAAAUAUUUAAAUUUAUCUUGAGAUCACGACGACGGCGGAGAAAAUGGUCGGCGACCGUCGAUUUAAGACUGAUCUACGAAAACAUUGCAAUUAUUCAGACCGCAAGUAAUGCGUAUACCGAUAAUGUGUAAUUGGUCCACCAUCGUGUACCAAUGAUAUGAACUUGUCGACUACGGGUCACGUUGUACGAAUGUAAUGAGUAUUCCGAGAGCGGUUGACCGUGAUAGUUUCCGUCGCCGGCCCGUCAAGGAGACUUAACGUGAUAACGUGCGCAGGAACUUGUGUCUGGUGACGCACACAUACCAGCCAGACAGGACAAUAAGCGGUUUACAUUGUCAAUUAUUUUCUCUCCUCAUUAUGGAGUAGGCAAAAGUUGUGCGAGACAAAAAUGAUACACAGGAAUGAUAUCAUUCGAUUAUACUAUGAUAAUAACUGAUAAGUAUUGUUAUGCAUGGACUUCUAUUAAAUGGCGCGUAGUGCCCCGAUUUAACGAUUAUCGCUUGUAAGUAUAAUAAUGUACACGCGAUUGUGUUCGUAUUACCUAUGUGUACGUUGUACAAUAGUACAUUCUCGCAAUGAUAUUAUCAUUUAUAAUUUGAACAAAAUUGAACAUUUUUAUUUAAACUUAAUAUUUUAAAAAUUAUGAAUACCACAUAAAUAAUCAGCAUCACAUUUUUUAAAUAAAUCAUCGUCAAAGUGUCGUUAUGAUAACAUUACCUAUAUCAUAUUAGCUGCACCCGUACGCACGCCUAUAAUUAACGCGAACCUCACGGUAUUGGAAUUAUUAUACUAUGUUACUAUUAUAUUAUUAUUAUUAUAGGUAACGAUUUUAACGUUAGCUUUGCUCUGCAGCGUCUAUCGUCGGCGUGUAAUAACAGUGCGGUGCUCGAAUCGCCGCUUAUAAAUACGGCGGCCGGUUUCUGGUAUGGAAAAUUCCAAACGAUGAUGAGUCGAUAUGUUGAUGCGAGCGGCAUGGCAGUUGCUGCGUUAUGAAGAGGAUGGUCGGGGGCGAGAGUCGCGAGUCAUUAACUCUGCAAACGCGACCGGUUGUCCGCCGAGUCAAGGUCGCCGCCGUCAGACCAUUCUGAUCUACUCCCGCACGAACAUACUACAACAGAGAUGUUUGUUAUUAUAUUAUAAUUCGUAUAUCAACUGCAAUACGGUCACCGAUCCCACCCACCAACGAGCGUGAAAAAUGAUUUAAGCAAACUAUACAUAUACUCUCUGCAAAAGUACAAGUAUAAACGAACACGAAGACCGAAGAAAAAUCUAAAACCAAAGUAAAAUCAUAUAUACACGAGUCUGCAAGGUUGUCUAAGCUGCUGCAGGUUUUGGUUUUCAAAAAGUUCAAAUUAAAAGUUACUGAAAUAAAAUAAAGAUAUUCUUCGUCAGUGAUUUGGGUGUUUUAUUUAAGUUCAAUGGAAAUUCGUCAACGGAGCAAUUAUUCCGCUUAAAUGCGAUACCUGCAACAGACGUGGAAUGGAUCAAUAUACAACGAUAAUGUCAUGUGGCUCGACGUCACAAACUGCGGCUGACGAACGAAUAUCGCGACAUCUAAUGUGAUUUAGGAGGAUAAUUUAUUCUACUCUCAUGGUAUACCUCGUUGGUUUUAAGAUAUUUUUGCAAGACGUAACGUGAGUUUCUGCUGAGACUAUUCUUAGAGUAACUCAUGCCGCUGUCCGAACUCCAAAGCUAUAGCUGUAUUAUAC